rnacentral:rRNA from 1 species
CGCGUAGGCGGUGCGGUAAGUCCGGGGUGGAAUCUUAGGGCUCAACCCUAAAAUUGCCUCGGAUACUGCUGUACUUGAGUCAGUGAGAGGAGGGCGGAAUUCCUGGUGUAGCAGUGAAAUGCGUAGAUAUCAGGAGGAAGGCCCGUGGCGAAGGCGGCCCUCUGGCGCUUGACUGACGCUGAGGCGCGAAAGCGUGGGUAGCAAACA